CCCGAGGAACGCAGGCCACCACUGGAGGCCCUUUGUUCCCUCGGGCAGCCAUCACCCACCAAGAGAAUCAGACAAACACACUGUGUGUCUACCACCAUUGGGGGAGUCCCAGUGUAGAUAUACAGACUGAGAGAAGCAGCCCCACCUCCACGCACCGCUGAACAUGAGGAAGCCUCAGAGUAGCUGCACAGGUCUGGAGAAGCCUGCCCCAUGGCCUACUACUUCUCUAUAAAUCAGGGGUCAGAGGAACCCAGGCGCCUGUCCCAUUCCCCUACACCACGGAUGGCAGCCCACGUGGGAAGUAACUGGGGCUCCACAACCAGCUUGUUGGGAGGAACCCAGGCUCUUGCAGGGGCUACACCAUUGGAAGCAAAAUGAUGAAGAAGUCUAAUAGCCCUUGCGUGGAGAGGUGCUUCUUGCUGGCCUCUGUGUUUCUCUUUCUCUCUAGGUCUUGGUUAGCUAACAGACUCAUAGCAGAAGAACAAAGACCAUGAAUAGGUAAGUUCAGAAUUUAAAACAGUACAGAUAAACAAUUAACAUGGAACAUACUUUAUCUGAUUUGCAUUCAAAGAAAGAUCAAUUAUUUCAAAUAUCUAGCCGGGAAAUCAUUGUAUCUGUGCACUAAAAUUUGUGAGUGUGUUGUUCCGAGCAUUGAACUUAGGACUUUAUACCUGCAAACUGCAUUUCCAGUUUCCAUAUAAACUUUUUUUAAGCUAUUGACAAACUGUUUUCAAAAGGGUAAAGCCCUGCUAUAUUGUUCCCCAGCGAUACCAGUUACCAACUCUCCAGUGACAAAAGCACUUGCUUCUUGGAUAUCCUUCACUUUUUGUUAUUGGUUUAGUAAAAAAAAAAAAAAGAAUUUUGUGUUGAUUUUCAUUUUCUUCAUUAUUCGUGAAGUUGAACACUUGUGUAUGCUUUCUGUGAUUGUGUAACAUUUUAUCAAGUGUUUAUUUUCUGUAAUAUUGCUUCCUUUUGCUUAUUGGUUUAUAAAAUUUAAAAAUUAAUUAGUUCCUGAUCAUUUUAUUUUACAAAUAGUUUCAUCAAUAUUAAUUUGAUUAACUGUCUUAUACAGAUACUUUUACUGUUAUGUUUGCCAAUUUUUUGUUAUUGGCUUCUGAGUCCUAUGCUUAACUUUGAAUAUAUUUUUAUUUAAACAUUCUCUCUCAUUGUAGUAUAAAAAGAAUGGUCCCCUUUUACUAUCAUCUCUGUCUCUAUUACCAUGUGGCUCUGGACUCUCUCUCUGGAGUUUGUUUUUGAAUAUGAGAUGUGUUCAGGAUUGCUAAUUAAUAGUCUUCUCAAUUCAGGAAAGACUACAGCAAUUGAUGAAUUCUAUCUACCUCAGACAUUUAUGGAAGAAUGAUAAAAUGGAUUUAUUACCAAAUGCUUAUUUAACCCUUUUCUACUGUGCAUGGGGCAUUUUGUGUACUGAAAUACAAAAUUAAAGGUCAAAUGAUUGUUCUUUUGUGGAGUGAAUUAUAAAAAGUAAAAAUCUGGGUAUUGCAGCUACCCUGGAGGCUGAAGCUGGAUCAUCCCUUUAGUCCAGGGAUUUGAGGACAGUCUGGACAGCACAGAGAGAACCUGCAUCUUUAAACUUUCAAAAAAAAAAAAAAAAAAAAAAAAAAAAAAAAAAAAAAAAAAAAAACAAUGUCAGGUAGAACUAAUAAAACAUUGCAAUACAAUAAAGAAACAAGUUUUCUGUACCCCAGAUGCUCAGAGAAAACUUCUACUUCUCUGAAGUCUUGAUUUUUAAGCUGAGACUUAAAUGAUGAUUAGAAAAUAGGAUGAAAGAAUCCUAAGAAAAGAAAUUCAAGAGAGAAAAAGCAAAUCCACAGACUCUCAAUUUGCCAUCACUGAAGUUGGACUGAAGGUGGAGGUACUGUGAGGAGGAAAGAAAUGGAAGUGCUUGAAGAGUGCUCCCAAGGUAUCAAGAGAAGCUCACCUACUCCAGCCAUCCCAGGAGACACCAGUAUGGACCAGAUCACUAGAAAACCAUCUGACAGCCAGCUGGAUGCCCUGGGACAUCUUUCUCCUAAUGAAAUACAACUGCAAUUCAAAUCUUUGCCAAACAAUAUGCUUGUUGAGCAGAUCAUAAAGGGGAUGAGUGAAGAAAAUUGAAAGUGUUUAAUGAUAUCAGCCUCUGAUUUUCAUAGCCAAGAUGGUUACCAGGUGAACAUAAAUUUGGGAGACCUCCCUCCACUGGUGAUGCUUACAUGGAAACACUUAUGUGCUACAUGAAUGAAAGGGUUGGAAUAACAGAAGUGAGUUCUCAUUGUGCCUCAGUCACUUACUAAUUCUGUUACUGUGGGGAAGUGAUUUAACCUACCUGAGUCUCAAAUUCCUCAUCUGGAAUGGGGAAGGGAAACAGUGUCCCCUUCCUAAGGAGGUUAUAGGGUCAGGCGAGUUAACGCAUGCAGUUUUUAACGAGGAAGCGGUACUGCCAAAUCGGGCUUGUUGGCUCUGUGUUUAAUGCUCCUGUGUUGAUUGGCAGAAUAUUUUGUUAAAUAAACUCAAGUAACUUA